rnacentral:lncRNA from 1 species
ACUGCAGAUGACAUCCGUAUUGCUGACUGUACUGUAGCAGCAGGAGGAGAUGGGUGCCAGCCUUGGAGGAUCCUGCAGGUGAAAGUGAAACGUGAGGCAGGUGCCAUUGCCAAUGGCAGUGCACGCCACACACAAGCAUCAGCAUCAGCAAAUUCAGCAGCAACAACCAACCAGCAACGCACGCAGCAAACAUCCACAGCAGCUGGCUCCUCCUUCCCCCACUCCAACAGUUUGGCAGCAGCAGCAGCGGCAGCUCGUUUCCUCGUCGCGUGCAUGCACAAUUGCAUAGAGUAUGCAGCUGCAGCCGCAGAGGUGAGUACUCCUGCGUCCCAUAGAAAAACUGGAUCAUAUGACAUCCUAAUACUACGAAUCUGAAUAUACAUAG